AGCUCCAAUAGCGUAUAUUAAAGUUGUUGUGGUUGAAAAGCUCGUAGUUGGAUCUCAACAGACCCGGGUCGGUUUCCUUUGUGUAAUACUGAUCCGUUACUUUUCUUUUUCUGGAGGUUUAGGGGUGCUCUUCACCUAGUGUCUCUGAGUGCCAGCAGGUUUACUUUGAAGAAAAUAAAUUGCUCAAGGAAGGCUGUUAUGCCUGAAUAUUUGUGCAUGGAAUAAUAGAAUAGGAUGUUGAUAUUAUUUUGUUGGUUUUCAAGACUCGACAUAAUGAUUAAUAGGGACAGUCGGGGGCAUUUGUAUUCAAACGACAGAGGUGAAAUUCUUGGACAGUUUGAAGACAAACUACUGCGAAAGCAUUUGCCAAGAAUGUUUUCA
rnacentral:rRNA from 1 species